AGUGAACGCUGGCGGUAGGCCUAACACAUGCAAGUCGAACGGCAGCACAGUAAGAGCUUGCUCUUACGGGUGGCGAGUGGCGGACGGGUGAGGAAUACAUCGGAAUCUACUUUUUCGUGGGGGAUAACGUAGGGAAACUUACGCUAAUACCGCAUACGACCUACGGGUGAAAGCAGGGGAUCUUCGGACCUUGCGCGAUUGAAUGAGCCGAUGUCGGAUUAGCUAGUUGGCGGGGUAAAGGCCCACCAAGGCGACGAUCCGUAGCUGGUCUGAGAGGAUGAUCAGCCACACUGGAACUGAGACACGGUCCAGACUCCUACGGGAGGCAGCAAUGGGGAAUAUUGGACAAUGGGCGCAAGCCUGAUCCAGCCAUACCGCGUGGGUGAAGAAGGCCUUCGGGUUGUAAAGCCCUUUUGUUGGGAAAGAGAAGCAGCAGGUUAAUACCCCGCUGUUCUGACGGUACCCAAAGAAUAAGCACCGGCUAACUUCGUG
rnacentral:rRNA from 1 species